rnacentral:lncRNA from 1 species
GCCAAAUAGGGGAGAGUGGGGGAGGAUUGUCGUGUGGAUGUCUCACCUCUAGCAUCGCUCCGGCAUGGCGUGUGGUCGUGAUGACUCGCAGGGGCCGUUCGCACAUGUUAGUGACCUUCCUGUGCGGAGACAUCAACAGGACCGCGACGAAUUGCUUACCAAAGUUGGGAAAUCACCGCCAACUGCACCAUGCCGUGGUAAGGCUUCAUCAUGUCAUCAUCGCUGGUGAGGACCUUCCCCAUAGUUUUGUACUGAUCUCUGCUUCGUGUUGCUCUAUUCGGUUUCGAGUUUGGGGCUCUAAUGCACGAAGUACACGACACCGGCCAUGGCGCCGCAGCUGAUGGGCUCUCAUCGUGCGUCUGGCCACCGUGGGGUGGAAGAUGAGCCAUUGACCGUAGGAUCAUAUCCGGAUGUUCCAGAUUAGAAGCACGUUACCGGUUUGGCUCCUUUAAAUCAAACCUGUUCAUCUCGGAACGGAGGGGCAUGGAUAGAUCAUGCAUGUGGAGCUUUGGAGCUAUUGAUCUUUAAUCCUCUGGUUGUGAUCAUGUAUUGGGUCGGAUAUAACCUCAACCAUAGGAUGAGAUCUGAACGGCUCUGCUGGGAAAAUACCCCUUCGGCGUGAAUGAUAAAGAGACCCUACUCUUUUAUCUAUUCAACCCGCAAUCCACAACACUGAAUGGACCACCAUAGUUUAGCCCAAAACUUUGCAAAACCGACCUUGAGCUCUUAGGAUUUUGUACACAACGUCCCUAGACUUUAGUAAAUCAUAUAAAUAAAUCUGGAAAAAUGAUUCUUAGUAGAAAAAUAAAUCCAUAAUCUUGCAUAAUUCAUAUCUUAACCAUUUUGACUCCGUUUUGAUCUGUUCAAGUUGCGUUAGUUUCGUAAUAAAGUUGCCUACACAGUAGCAAUAUUAUUUGAUCAUGUCUCAUAACUUUUAUAAAUAGAUAUUGGUUUAGCCUAUGAUUAGUAGAUUAAUCCCUCUAACCAAAGUUAAACUAGUCCAUGAUGAUAAUUUGACAUAAAUACGAUUUCUAAUCAAGUAUUAAUCUAGAUUAAAGUUGAGUUAAUUAUUUAUAGUAUAUUUUCUCAUAUGAAGUAUAAUAACCAAUUUAUGCUAUAGUUUAAUAUUUAAUCACAUAGAUCUUACAUAAACCAUAUCUUUUUAACCGUAACCCCGAAUUUAGUGGUUCUCGAACCCAUGAUCUUGUAGCAACACGUAGAUUAUUAUUAUGCAGUUUGUUCUAAUGUUUGGUGUGAUGUCAAUACUGCCUAUACCAUGUUUGUUGUAUUUCUACGAAUAGCGGUGAGGUCACGAGAAUCUGAAGAUCAUCCUGGUACCUGGAAUCUCGAGUCUCAAGCAAGUUGUGCCCUUGAUCACUUUUCUUUACCCAAUAAUGUUCCUGUUAAUCACUGUGACUUGCUCAGGUUAAUUUGAUGGGAUCUAAUAGUUUCCCUAGACUUGUUUAUCACACACUUUGUUUACCACUGAACUUUUGGGUAGUUAUGCUAUUGCUCUAUCUGGUUUUGGGAUUAAUACAUUAUGAUCAUGUUCCAAUUAUACUGUUGUUUUAAUUAUUGUUCAUGAUAAGAUCAUUGUGUUAAUUGGAACAUGGAGCUUAACUUGAGAAAUACGUGCUACCACAAGGGUGGAAUGGGACGCCCUUGGUUGACUAAUUAGGAAAGCUAGUGGAGGACUACCUUACCCGAAAGGGGAAAGGGCAGUAGGGGAGUUGCGUAUAGGGAGGUUCUCGGGUCGAUCAUGCUACGAUGGCUUUUCGGACGAGGGAUUCCUAUAUUGCCCUUCCUAAAAACUGUAGCGGGUUUUUGAAGCUAGUGGAACUUUGUAAAGGCCUCGUAGUGGAUCCCUAGCCAUUCACCUCGGAAGUGUCUAAGGGUCUAGCUAACCCUGGCUAGAUGGGAUACACGACUUGUGGGUAAAGGACGCAACCUCUAUAGAGUGUAAAACUGGUAUAUCAGUCGUGCUCGCGGUCAUGAGCAGCUCAAGACUCUCACAUGAUUAAUCUAUGGAAAUAAACUUAAUUUGUCAUAUGCAUUGCAUUGUGGGUGUUGUUAUUAAUUUGAUCUCUUACUUAUUUGGGUUGGUAUCUACUUAUACUUAGUAACUGCUAAUAAAACUUUGAGCAUCUCUAAAACCAAUGCUCAGCUUUAACCAUAUCUUUUGGUAAGCCUUACACUUCACAUGAGCUCCCACCUUUGGUGAGUUCAUGCACAUUAUUUCCCACAACUUGUUGAGCGAUGAACGUAUGUGAGCUCACCCUUGUUGUACUCAUAUUCUCCCCUAGGUCAAGAACAGUGGAUGAGGCGCAUGAAGGAUUCUGCGAUGAGUUCGUGAAAGGUCUAGGUCAUCGUUGAAAGGAAAAUAGGGUUAACCUUUUUCCACAAUUAAUUUUGGUGGUUGAAUGCCCAACACAAAUAUAUGGACUAACUAGUUUGCUAUAGAAUACAUGUUCUACAGGUGCAAAAAGGUUCAAUAUAAACCAAUAAAUAUUCAAGUUAGGGAUCCAAUUUGAAGGAGCAAAAGAAACCAAGUGUGCUCUGGUCUAGCGCACCGGACUGUCCGGUGCACCUAGACUGUCUGGUGUGCCAUCGGACUGUCCGGUGCACCAGCGGAGCAACA